rnacentral:piRNA from 1 species
UCAUUCACAAUUGAACACCUAUGUGCUUGGC